CAGGAAUCCAGGAUCUACAGUACGUGAUAAGGCCCAGGAAGGCGUGAAGGGCCUGGUGAGUAGAUGGAAGGGGAAGAUUUGUGAUAGCAUGAACUCUAUCUCUUGUCAGAUGAUGGGUGCCAUGGGAAAGACAAUGUCCCAAGAAGACCACGGCCCACCACUGGAGCUUAGCUUUGGAGGCUUUGCAACCCUCUUCUGCGAGGAAACAGAUAAGAUCUACAGAAUGGCGUUCAGCUGUUGGUCAUCUGCACAGAGCAGCAAAUCAUCAACAUACUGGAGUAGGACCACAUCUGGAUGUGAUUUCUGCCAGGGUUC